UUUCCGUAGGUGAACCUGCGGAAGGAUCAUUAUUGUAUAACCGAGGUGCAAGGGCUGUCGCUGACCCGAAAGGUCGUGCACGCCCGUGUGCCCUCACACACAUCCAUCUCACCCCUAUGUGCACCACCGCGUGGGUCCCCCUUUGGCUUGUUCGGAGGGGGGCUUACGUUUUCACACAAACUUUGUAUGCAGUGUAGAAUGUAUUUUUUGUUUUUGCGAUCACGCAAUCAAUACAACUUUCAACAACGGAUCUCUUGGCUCUC
rnacentral:misc_RNA from 1 species